rnacentral:rRNA from 1 species
AACGAACGCUGGCGGCAUGCCUAACACAUGCAAGUCGAACGAGACCUCCGGGUCUAGUGGCGCAUGGGUGCGUAACGCGUGGGAACCUGCCCUUAGGUUCGGAAUAACUCCCCGAAAGGGGUGCUAAUACCGGAUAAUGUCUUCGGACCAAAGAUUUAUCGCCUUUGGAUGGGCCCGCGUUGGAUUAGCUAGUUGGUAGGGUAAAAGCCUACCAAGGCGACGAUCCAUAGCUGGUCUGAGAGGAUGAUCAGCCACACUGGGACUGAGACACGGCCCAGACUCCUACGGGAGGCAGCAGUGGGGAAUAUUGGACCGUGGGCGAAAGCCUGAUCCAGCAAUGCCGCGUGAGUGAUGAGGGCCUUAGGGUUGUAAAGCUCUUUUACCCGGGAUGAUAAUGACAGUACCGGGAGAAUAAGCACCGGCUAACUCCGUG